UGUAGCUGCUGUACAGCCUCCGGCCGCUAGUCGCAGCACUGCUGCUGAUUAGCAUGGCUGUGUGGAGAGAGGAAGAUAUCUGGCGCCAUCUUUGAUUUUAGGCUGUAAAAUUGUUUGUGUCACGGUACAUCUGCCUGACACCGAUUUUAAUCACAACAGUGGUCGCCAAGGUGAUUGUCUACCAAAAGAUGACACACUCUGAGGGAUGUCGACAUCCGCGAUCCAGCUGAAGCUGUAAGACAGGCUGUUGGAACCACCAUGGUUCAGUAUUGAAAAUGGAGGCUUGAAGAUUUAUAGCACCCAUGUCAACAUGUCAAUGAUGUAGGCGGACAUGUUUCCUUGUCAACAAUCAAGAGAAGACUUCAUGACCAAAACCUCAGAGGAUUCAUUACAAGAUCCAAAUCCCCUCCAGGAGAAUGAUCGUGAACAUACGACCACAGCAACCAAAGAGCUUUUCACAGUGAAGAGGUGGAAUAUCUUUGACAGAAACCAGACAGGAGCAUCAUCUACAACACCCCUCCACCCCCUCCCACCCCCCCACUGUGUGUCCCUACUGCAGUGAGCUGUGCAGUGACAGUCAGUGAAACACUUGAAGCCGAUAGAUGGCAGCACAUAGUUUCAACUUAGCAGCCAGUAAAUGUUACACAAUCUUUUCUUCCCCUCCAAGGUUAAUUGAUUCCCUUUUAAGUCGAGUCAGCAUUUUGUGUUUGUGAAAGAAUUUGUACUUUAGAAAUAUGCAAAAAAAAAAAAAAAAAUUGUGGUGGGAGCUCGGUCCUCUGCAGCUGCAGCGGCUGAUUCAGGCAAAAGCCUCUCAGCACACAGCGUUCCAAGUUCUCUCUGCUGGCAGUUGGCAGCCGUUGCAUGAAUAGAGAGCAGCGGAGGGCAUUCUUCACAUAGCCAUUCUGAACACAUAUUUAACAUCUUUGUUCAUGUUGGUCGUUAAUCCUCCUUGAACUGAAUAUCAAUUAACAAGCACCUCUUUAUAGUCAGGUUUGAGAAUAGCUGAUGGUGAAAAAGGGAUUUCAAAUUGGUGCCUGUUCACUUAACACUUAAUGAUGCUUUCUGAGAGUCCUCCCUUGUUGGGCUGUGUUUUAUGGUCAGAUAAAAGUUGUGCAGGGAGAAAAAUGCCAUCUGGGCUCUGUGCCAGGGGCUGGUGUUUCACAGCAGCUACUGCCUCAC